CUCCAGGAUAGAAGACUCUGAAACUGGUUUGGGCCGGGAAGCCAUGCUUCAUUUAGUCACAAAGGACUUUCCCUUAACUUUUGAACCCCUGGUCUGAUUCGUGCCAUUUUUUAAUAUGUUGUUCCCUGAAUGGAUUGAUUAUGAAAAUGUAUGUUUUAUGUUUGUGACAUGUAUAUUUUAGAAGUUAUAAAUAUUGUGUAAAAACUGUAUUCCUCUGCCGGUGAUAAUGAGA